rnacentral:rRNA from 1 species
AACGAACGCUGGCGGCAGGCCUAACACAUGCAAGUCGAACGCACCGCAAGGUGAGUGGCGCACGGGUGAGUAACACGUGGGAAUGUACCCUUUGGUUCGGAAUAACGUUUGGAAACGAACGCUAAUACCGGAUGAGCCCUGCGGGGAAGAUUAUCGCCAAAGGAGCAGCCCGCGUCUGAUUAGCUAGUUGGUGGGGUAAAGGCCUACCAAGGCGACGAUCAGUAGCUGGUCUGAGAGGAUGAUCAGCCACACUGGGACUGAGACACGGCCCAGACUCCUACGGGAGGCAGCAGUGGGGGAAUAUUGGACAAUGGGCGCAAGCCUGAUCCAGCCAUGCCGCGUGAGUGAUGAA